rnacentral:rRNA from 1 species
GACGAACGCUGGCGGCGUGCUUAACACAUGCAAGUCGAACGAAGUGGCGAACGGGUGAGUAACGCGUAAUCAACCUGCCCUUCAGAGGGGGACAACAGGUGGAAACGACUGCUCAUACCGCAUACUGAAGGAGGGGAUUGCGUCGUAUUAGCUAGUUGGAGGGGUAACGGACCACCAAGGCGAUGAUCAGGAGCCGGUCGUAGAGAAUGAACGGCGAGAUGGUGCCUGAGACACGGCCCAGACUCCUACGGGAGGAAGCAGUGGGGAAUCUUCCGCAAUGGAAGAAAGUCUGACGGAGCAACGCCGCGUGAGUGAUGAGGGCCUUCGGGUUGUAAAGCUCUGUUAAUCGGGACGCGGUACCGGAAUAGAAAGCCACGGCUAACUACGUGCCAGCAGCCGCGGUAAUUC